CCUACGGUGUGCUGCAGUGGGGAAUAUUGGACAAUGGGCGAAAGCCUGAUCCAGCCAUGCCGCGUGUGUGAAGAAGGCCUUCGGGUUGUAAAGCACUUUCAGUGGGGAAGAAAGCCUUGGGGCUAAUACCCUCGAGGAAGGACAUCACCCACAGAAGAAGCACCGGCUAACUCCGUGCCAGCAGCCGCGGUAAUACGGAGGGUGCGAGCGUUAAUCGGAAUUACUGGGCGUAAAGCGCGCGUAGGCGGUCUGAUAAGCCGGUUGUGAAAGCCCCGGGCUCAACCUGGGAACGGCAUCCGGAACUGUCAGGCUAGAGUGCAGGAGAGGAAGGUAGAAUUCCCGGUGUAGCGGUGAAAUGCGUAGAGAUCGGGAGGAAUACCAGUGGCGAAGGCGGCCUUCUGGACUGACACUGACGCUGAGGUGCGAAAGCGUGGGUAGCAAACAGGAUUAGAUACCCCGGUAAUC
rnacentral:rRNA from 1 species